rnacentral:rRNA from 1 species
GGCGGACGGGUGAGUAACGCGUGGGAAUCUACCUAGUAGUGGAGGAUAACUCGGGGAAACUCGAGCUAAUACUGCAUACGCCCUACGGGGGAAAGCGGGGGAUCUUCGGACCUCGCGCUAUUGGAUGAGCCCGCGUUAGAUUAGCUUGUUGGUGAGGUAAUGGCUCACCAAGGCGACGAUCUAUAGCUGGUCUGAGAGGAUGAUCA